rnacentral:rRNA from 1 species
UACAGAGGGUGCAAGCGUUAAUCGGAAUUACUGGGCGUAAAGCGUGCGUAGACGGUUAUGUAAGUUAGGUGUGAAAGCCCCGGGCUCAACCUGGGAAUUGCAUUUAAGACUGCAUAGCUAGGGUGCGGAAGAGGGAAGCGGAAUUUCCGGUGUAGCGGUGAAAUGCGUAGAUAUCGGAAGGAACACCGGUGGCGAAAGCGGCGCGCUGGAUCCCUACUGACGCUGAGGCACGAAAGCCAGGGGAGCAAACGGG